AGCGAACGCUGGCGGCAGGCCUAACACAUGCAAGUCGAACGGAUCCUUCGGGAUUAGUGGCGGACGGGUGAGUAACACGUGGGAACGUGCCCUUUGGUUCGGAACAACUCAGGGAAACUUGAGCUAAUACCGGAUGUGCCCUUCGGGGGAAAGAUUUAUCGCCAUUGGAGCGGCCCGCGUCUGAUUAGCUAGUUGGUGAGGUAAAGGCUCACCAAGGAGACGAUCAGUAGCUGGUCUGAGAGGAUGAUCAGCCACAUUGGGACUGAGACACCGCCCAAACUCCUACGGGAGUCAGCAGUGGGGAAUCUUGCGCAAUGGGCGAAAGGCUGACUCAGCCAUGCCGCGUGAAUGAUGAAGGUCUUAGGAUUGUAAAAUUAUUUCACCGGGGAUGAUAAUGACGGUACCCGGAGAAGAAGCCCCGGCUAACGUCCUGCCAGCCGCCGCUGUAA
rnacentral:rRNA from 1 species